UACGGAGGGGACUAGCGUUGUUCGGAAUUACUGGGCGUAAAGCGCACGUAGGCGGAUUUGUAAGUCAGGGGUGAAAUCCCGGGGCUCAACCUCGGAACUGCCUUUGAUACUGCAAAUCUCGAGUCCGGAAGAGGUGAGUGGAAUUCCUAGUGUAGAGGUGAAAUUCGUAGAUAUUAGGAAGAACACCGGUGGCGAAGGCGGCCCACUGGAUCGGUACUGACGCUGAGGUGCGAAAGCGUGGGGGAGCAAACAGG
rnacentral:rRNA from 1 species